rnacentral:rRNA from 1 species
GGGGGACCACCCUCCAAGCCUAAAUACUCGUACAUGACCGAUAGCGAACACAGUACCGUGAGGGAAAGGUGAAAAGAACCGCGGAUAGCGGAGUGAAAAGAACCUGAAACCGUGUGCUUACAAGCAGUUAGAGGGCUAUAAAUGGCCUGAUAGCGUGCCUUUUGCAUAAUGAGCCUACGAGUUACUCCUCACUGGCAAGGUUAAGUGCAUUGAUGCACGCAGGCGCAGCGAAAGCGAGUCUGAAUAGGGCGUGUAGUCAGUGGGGGUAGACGCGAAACCUAGUGAGCUACCCUUGAGCAGGAUGAAGGAGCGGUAACACGCUGUGGAGGUCCGAACCAGUUUCCGUUGAAAAGGAUUUGGAUGACUUGAGGGUAGGGGUGAAAGGCCAAUCAAACUCCGUGAUAGCUGGUUCUCUCCGAAAUGCAUUUAGGUGCAGCGUUGCGUGUUUCUUGCCGGAGGUAGAGCUACUGGAUGGCGAAUGGGCCCUACAAGGUUACUGAUGUCAGCCAAACUCCGAAUGCCGGUAAGCCAAGCGUGGCAGUGAGACUGUGGGGGAUAAGCUUCAUAGUCGAGAGGGAAACAGCCCAGACCACCAGCUAAGGCCCCUAAGCGUGUGCUAAGUGGGAAAGGAUGUGGAGUUGCUUAGACAACCAGGAGGUUGGCUUAGAAGCAGCCAUCCUUUAAAGAAAGCGUAACAGCUCACUGGUCUAAUUAAGAGGUUCUGCGGCGAAGAUGUAACGGGGCUCAAGACACGCACCGAAGCUUAGGGUGUGGAUUUAUCCACGCGGUAGCGGAGCGUUCCGUAAGCCGUUGAAGCGAUCUGGUAAUGGGUCGUGGAGGUAUCGGAAGUGCGAAUGCAGACAUGAGUAGCGAUAAAGAGGGUGAGAUGCCCUCUCGCCGAAAGACCAAGGGUUCCUGCGCAAGGCUAAUCCGCGCAGGGUGAGCCGGCCCCUAAGACGAGCCCGAAGGGGGUAGUCGAUGGGAACCACGUUAAUAUUCGUGGGCCUGGUGGUGUGUGACGGAUCGUGGAAGUUGU